rnacentral:rRNA from 1 species
GAUGAACGCUGGCGGCGUGCCUAAUACAUGCAAGUCGAGCGAACGGACGAGAAGCUUGCUUCUCUGAUGUUAGCGGCGGACGGGUGAGUAACACGUGGAUAACCUACCUAUAAGACUGGGAUAACUUCGGGAAACCGGAGCUAAUACCGGAUAAUAUUUUGAACCGCAUGGUUCAAAAGUGAAAGACGGUCUUGCUGUCACUUAUAGAUGGAUCCGCGCUGCAUUAGCUAGUUGGUAAGGUAACGGCUUACCAAGGCAACGAUGCAUAGCCGACCUGGGAGGGUGAUCGGCCACACUGGAACUGAGACACGGUCCAGACUCCUACGGGAGGCAGCAGUAGGGAAUCUUCCGCAAUGGGCGAAAGCCUGACGGAGCAACGCCGCGUGAGUGAUGAAGGUCUUCGGAUCGUAAAACUCUGUUAUUAGGGAAGAACAUAUGUGUAAGUAACUGUGCACAUCUUGACGGUACCUAAUCAGAAAGCCACGGCUAACUACGU